rnacentral:rRNA from 1 species
CUCGUAGGCGGUGAUAUAAGUGGCUUGUGAAAGCCCCCGGCUCAACCGGGGAAUUGCGGGCCAAACUGUAUUGCUAGGGAGCAGGAGGGGUGAGUGGAAUUCAGGGUGUAGCGGUGAAAUGCGUAGAUAUCCUGGAGAACGUCGGUGGCGAAGGCGACUCACUGGCCUGUGUCCGACGCUGAGGAGCGAAAGCUAGGGGAGCAAACG